UACGUAGGUGGCAAGCGUUGUCCGGAAUUACUGGGCGUAAAGAGCGCGCAGGCGGCUGGUCAAGUCCGAUGUGAAAGCUCCCGGCUUAACUGGGAAAUUGCAUCGGAAACUGAUCGGCUUGAAGGUGGGAGAGGGUAGUGGAAUUCCCGGUGUAGUGGUGAAAUGCGUAGAUAUCGGGAGGAACACCAGUGGCGAAGGCGGGUCUCUGGGCAUUACCUGACGCUGAGGAGCGAAAGCAUGGGGAGCGAACAGG
rnacentral:rRNA from 1 species